rnacentral:rRNA from 1 species
AGAAUCAACGCUGGCGGCGUGCCUAACACAUGCAAGUCGCACGAGAAAGGGGAGCAAUCCCUGAGUAAAGUGGCGCACGGGUGAGUAACACGUGAAUAAUCUACCUCCGAGUGGGGAAUAACUGAGAGAAAUCUUAGCUAAUACCGCAUAACACUUACGAGUCAAAGCAGCAAUGCGCUUGGAGAGGAGUUCGCGGCCGAUUAGCUAGUUGGCGGGGUAAUGGCCCACCAAGGCGAUGAUCGGUA